GGGUGAGUAAUACUUAGGUAAUCUACCUUCGAGAUGGGGACAACCUUCCGAAAGGAGGGCUAAUACCGAAUAAGACCACAGUCACUUCGGUGACAGGGGUUAAAGGUGGCCUCUACUUGUAAGCUAUCACUUGAAGAUGAGCCUACGCACCAUUAGCUAGUUGGUAGGGUAAUGGCCUACCAAGGCUAUGAUGGUUAGCUGAUCUGAGAGGUUGAUCAGCCACACUGGAACUGAGACACGGUCCAGACUCC
rnacentral:rRNA from 1 species